rnacentral:rRNA from 1 species
GUGUCAGCAGCCGCGGUAAGACAGAGGGUGCAAACGUUGUUCGGAAUUACUGGGCGUAAAGCGCGUGUAGGUGGCCAGGCAAGUCGGGUGUGAAAGCCCCGGGCUCAACCCGGGAAGUGCACUCGAAACUGCUUGGCUCGAGUGCCGGAGAGGGAAGCGGAAUUCUCGGUGUAGAGGUGAAAUUCGUAGAUAUCGAGAGGAACACCAGUGGCGAAGGCGGCUUCCUGGACGGCUACUGACGCUGAGACGCGAAAGCGUGGGGAGCAAACAGGAUUAGAAACCCCAGUAGUCC